rnacentral:rRNA from 1 species
CUAUACAUGACUCUGCGCAUAUCAAUAAGCGGAGGAAAAGAAACUAACAAGGAUUCCCUUAGUAACGGCGAGUGAAGCGGGAAGAGCUCAAAUUUGAAAUCUUCAAGGUUCUACCUUGACGAAUUGUAGUUUAUAGAAGUGUUUUCUGUUAGUAGAGUGGCAAAAGUUCUUUGGAAUAGGACAUCAUAGAGGGUGAGAAUCCCGUAUUUGACCGUUACUUUCUAGCUUUGUGAUACACUUUCAACGAGUCGGAUUGUUUGGGAAUGACAGUCCAAAAUGGGUGGUAAAUUUCAUCUAAAGCUAAAUAUUGGCGAGAGACCGAUAGCGAACAAGUACCGUGAGGGAAAGAUGAAAAGAACUUUGAAAAGAGAGUUAAACAGUACGUGAAAUUGUCAAAAGGGAAGCGUUUGACACCAGUGUUGUUUUUCCGAAAAUCAAUUACGAAUGUUUUAUUUUUGAGAAGUUAUGACUUCAUCGGCUUGCUUCUUUCUUUACGAAACUUUCUUAAUGCACUUUUCGGUUAACGAGUCAACAUCAAUUUCUUUUGUUGUAAAAGGGUAUGAGGAAGGUGGCUUUCUUUUCGGAGAAAGUGUUUAUAGCCUUGUGCCUCUGCAAUCGGAGAGAUUGAGGUCUGCAGCGUAGAUCCUUCGGGGUUAGAUACAUUUAUGCUAAGUUAUAGCUCUUCAUAGACAACUUGUUGACUAUGUUUAGUCAUGUAGCUUACUCGUAAGUGCUAUUUUACCUACGCUUAGGAUGUUGAUAGUCACAGCGUGUAC